rnacentral:sRNA from 2 species
GCCGCUUCUUUUACUGCUUUUUCAUUCUUCACAAUCAAUUGUUAUUACCUCUACGGAGUACUCUGUACAUCAAUUGUUAUUUAUUGUAUAUAAUUAUUAAUCAUUUAUUUUCAACUAUACUAUUUGCUCGUUACACUGUCAACCAGGCAGAUAUCACAACAGAUAGCGUCAGCUGCGUGUCAAGAUCCUUUUCUCUUCUCUUUUUCUUCUUUUUCUUGUCAGUUUUCUGCUCCUUGGAAUUGAGCUGGGACCUGCUGACGCUGAACGAUGAAGCUAUUGGAUCGACGUGUGUUGAUGGUCUCCAAGUCCAAAACUAGG